rnacentral:rRNA from 1 species
AGGACGAACGCUGGCGGCGUGCUUAACACAUGCAAGUCGAGCGGUAAGGCCCUUUCGGGGGUACACGAGCGGCGAACGGGUGAGUAACACGUGAGCAAUCUGCCCUUCACUUCGGGAUAAGCCUUCGGAAACGGGGUCUGA